AACGCACAUUGCGCCCUGUGGUAUUCCGCAGGGCAUGCCUGUUCGAGCGUCAGUACAACACUCAAGCUCAGCUUGGUCUUGAGCCCCGCCGGUCACCCGGCUGGCUCUAAAAUCAGUGGCGGCGCCAUCUGGCUCUCAGCGUAGUAAUACUCCUCGCUAUUGAGUCCCGGUGGUCUGCUGGCCAGCAACCCCCAACUUUCUACGUUUGACCUCGGAUCAGGUAGGGAUACCCGCUGAACUUAA
rnacentral:misc_RNA from 1 species